GUGAAUCAUCAAAUUUUUGAACGCAAAUUGCGCUUCCUAGCAUCCCGGGAAGUAUGCCUGUUUGAGGGUCAGUAUUAACAAAAAAUCGGUUUGGUUGCAAAUUGUGACGUUUCCGGAGUUUGGGCUUAUCUUAACUUUUUUGGUUAAGGGGCUUAAAAUUGACCUUUUUUGCGCAUUUUUAGACGUACAUAAAUUUUUUUUUUUUUUUUUUCUUUUUUUAUUCCAAAAAUUUUUUUAGUUG
rnacentral:misc_RNA from 1 species